rnacentral:rRNA from 1 species
CCUACGGGUGGCAGCAGUGGGGAAUAUUGGGCAAUGGGCGCAAGCCUGACCCAGCAACGCCGCGUGAAGGAAGAAGGCUUUCGGGUUGUAAACUUCUUUUCUCAGGGACGAAGCCAUUGACGGUACCUGAGGAAUAAGCCACGGCAAACUACGUGCCAGCAGCCGCGGUAAUACGUAGGGGGGAAACGUUAUCCUGAUUUACUGGGUGUAAAGGGCGUAUAGGCGGGUAAGCUAGUUAACUGUGAAAACCAUGUGCUCAACCUGUGGGCUGCAUUUGAAACUGUUUUUCUUGAGUACUGGAGAGGCAGACGGAAUGCCUAGUGUAGCGGUGAAAUGCGUAGAUAUGAGGAGGAACACCAGUGGCGAAGGCGGUCUGCUGGACAGCAACUGACGCUGAGGUGCGAAAGCGUGGGGAGCAAACAGGAUUAGAUACCCCAGUAGUC